CCUACGGGGGGCUGCAGUGAGGAAUAUUGGUCAAUGGGCGGGAGCCUGAACCAGCCAAGUCGCGUGAGGGAAGAAGGUACUGAGUAUUGUAAACCUCUUUUGCCAGGGGACAAAGGCGGCCACGGGUGGCCGUAAGAGGGUACCUGGAGAAAAAGCAUCGGCUAACUCCGUGCCAGCCGCCGCGGUAAUACGGAGGAUGCGAGCGUUAUCCGGAUUUAUUGGGGUUAAAGGGUGCGCAGGCGGGGUGUCAAGUCAGCGGUAAAAUGUCGGGGCUCAACCCCGGCCGGCCGUUGAAACUGGGGUGCUCGAGUUGGAGAGAAGUAUGCGGAAUUCGUGGUGUAGCGGUGAAAUGCAUAGAUAUCACGCAGAACUCCGAUUGCGAAGGCAGCAUACCGGCGCCCGACUGACGCUGAAGCACGAAAGCGUGGGGAUCGAACAGGAUUAGAUACCCCGGUAGUC
rnacentral:rRNA from 1 species